UACGGAGGAUGCAAGCGUUAUCCGGAAUGAUUGGGCGUAAAGCGUCCGCAGGUGGCUAUGUAAGUCUGCUGUUAAAGAGUGAGGCUCAACCUCAUAAGAGCAGUGGAAACUACAUGGCUAGAGUGCGUUCGGGGCAGAGGGAAUUCCUGGUGUAGCGGUGAAAUGCGUAGAGAUCAGGAAGAACACCGGUGGCGAAAGCGCUCUGCUGGGCCGACACUGACACUGAGAGACGAAAGCUAGGGGAGCAAAUGGG
rnacentral:rRNA from 1 species